rnacentral:siRNA from 1 species
UUUCCACAAUGUGUAUGAUGUCCU